AAAGAGGAAGCAGUGCCAGCCCAGGACUACUUUGCUAAUAGUGCACGUGACUUUUCUUACUUCCAGAAGGCCUUCUACUCCACCUUAUCUUCUUACAAACUUCUAGGCCUCCUUCAAGCCUCAGCUGACACAGGGCCUCCUCCAUGCAGCCUUCCCUGACUCCUCGAUGGCGAUGCAGAAGCAUCUACAAACCUGGAAGGAGUGUUGAGGGGAUCCAGCGAGACUGUGUGCAGGAAGACCUUAGCUCCGAGCUGGCCAGAGGAGAACCCCUUACAAGUGGUAGCUGGUGGUGUCCCCACUCUGCCUGUCUUUCCUGAGCUCCUCUGUGGGACUGGCAGGCUGCAGGCCUGGAUGCCCUCAGGAGCACAGAGGAUGCUGACUGGUGGAGAAACGAAGACCCCGAGACUCUGACCCAGAAUGACUCCGGACACCAGACCCAAAAUGUGAAGGAGCCUUAGGAACACCUCAGCCAAUUCACUUGACUGAUCCUCUCCUUUUAAAAGUUGUCAUAGAGCAGCAGAGGAUAAAAAUCUACAUUUGAAUAAGUCUAACAGAGUUCUCUCAAUAAGUAUUAAAAGCUCUAAGCGAGAAGAAUCACAUUGUCAGGAAUUCAUUGAAUGUUUUUGUUUGUUUGUUUGUUUUCUCCCUCAGUGGUAUGUAAAAUACCGUUUCUUGCAACUGACAAUCUUUCAGAGACUAAGAAACCCAAGAAAAUGUUGGCAAGAACGUAGUACUCAUAAUGACCAGGGCUUGAGCAUUUAUGCUGUGAGCAGACCCUGGGCUCGGUGCUUCUCCAUCUCUUCCCAGUAACCUUUAUGUAGCUGUUACUGUCUUCACCGUACAAGUGAAGAAAUUGAGGCAUGAAAAGGAAGCUAACUUGUUGAAAGUAGUAACUCGUAUAUGUUAACAUUGCAUUUUUUUCCAUUUCCAUUUUUAUUCUGAAACUAUUUCAAAAUACAGAGUGUUAAAGGAACGGUACAAAGAACUCUCACAUACCCUUUGUGUGGAAACCCCCUUUGAGUUUCACUAAGUGUCUCAAUAAAUGUAUUUUCUAGCAAAGGAUCCAUCUGGGACCGUGCAUGGCUCUUAGUUACCGUGUCUUUCGGGUCUCCAGUUUGAAACAGAUGCCUUGUUUUUUCCUUGACAUCUCGAAGACUGCAGGCUAGUUGUUUUGAAUAAUGUCCCUCAAUUUGGCUCUGUCUGAUGAUUAGACCGAGGUUAUGCUUUUUUGGCCAAAAUAACAUAGAAGUGAUGCUGGAUUAUUCUUGAUGAGUCCUAUCAGCUUUCAUUGUCAAUCUGUACCAUCACUCAUGUUGUUCACUCUGAUCAUUUGAUUAACUUGACCUCAGUCAAGUUUCUCUAUUGUAAAGUUACUUCCCCUUCCACAUCGUAAUUUAUAAGCAUUUGGUAGGGAGAUACUUUUAAGCUUUCUCAUCCCACUCCCACACCUGUAUAAUUUCAAUA